rnacentral:rRNA from 1 species
UACGAAGGGGGCUAGCGUUGUUCGGAAUUACUGGGCGUAAAGAGCGUGUAGGCGGCCAUACAGGUCAGCUGUGAAAACUCGAGGCUCAACCUCGAGACGUCGGUUGAAACCGUUUGGCUAGAGUCCGGAAGAGGAGAGUGGAAUUCCCGGUGUAGCGGUGAAAUGCGCAGAUAUCGGGAAGAACACCCGUGGCGAAGGCGGCUCUCUAGUACGGUACUGACGCUGAGACGCGAAAGCGUGGGGAGCGAACAGG